GACGGUACUUGAUGAAUAAGCCACGGCUAAUUCCGUGCCAGCAGCCGCGGUAAUACGGGAGUGGCAAGCGUUAUCCGGAAUUAUUGGGCGUAAAGCGUCCGCAGGCGGCCUUGUAAGUCUGUCGUCAAAGCGUGGAGCUUAACUCCAUUUAAGCGAUGGAAACUGCAAGGCUAGAGUGUGGUAGGGGCAGAGGGAAUUCCCGGUGUAGCGGUGAAAUGCGUAGAUAUCGGGAAGAACACCAGCGGCGAAGGCGCUCUGCUGGGCCAUAACUGACGCUCAUGGACGAAAGCCAGGGGAGCGAAAGGGAUUAGAUACCCCUGUAGUCCUGGCCGUAAACGAUGAACACUAGGUGUCGGGGGAAUCGACCCCCUCGGUGUCGUAGCCAACGCGUUAAGUGUUCCGCCUGGGGAGUACGCACGCAAGUGUGAAACUCAAAGGAAUUGACGGGGGCCCGCACAAGCGGUGGAGUAUGUGGUUUAAUUCGAUGCAACGCGAAGAACCUUACCAGGGUUUGACAUCCUGCGAAUCCCUUGGAAACGAGGGAGUGCCUUCGGGAGCGCAGAGACAGGUGGUGCAUGGCUGUCGUCAGCUCGUGUCGUGAGAUGUUGGGUUAAGUCCCGCAACGAGCGCAACCCACGUCGUUAGUCGCCAGCAUUUAGUUGGGCACUUUGGGGAGACUGCCGGUGACAAACCGGAGGAAGGUGUGGACGACGUCAAGUCAUCAUGCCCCUUACGUCCUGGGCUACACACGUACUACAAUGCUGCGGACAGAGGGACGCGAAGCCGCGAGGUGAAGCAAAUCCCAGAAACCGUGGCUCAGUUCAGAUUGCAGGCUGCAACUCGCCUGCAUGAAGGCGGAAUCGCUAGUAAUCGCAGGUCAGCAUACUGCGGUGAAUACGUUCCCGGGCCUUGUACACACCGCCCGUCACACCAUGGGAGUUGGCCAUGCCCGAAGUCGUUACUCUAACCGUUCGCGGAGGGGGGCGC
rnacentral:rRNA from 1 species